AAUAACGCCUGGGCAGGGAAAAGUCAGAGGAUACUGCAGUGGAGUCCUUAGCAGUUCUCAUGUGCAAAUUGGUGGUCUGACCUGGGUGUAGGGAUGAAAGACUAAUGGA
rnacentral:ncRNA from 1 species